rnacentral:rRNA from 1 species
UACGGGGGGAGCAAGCGUUGUUCGGAUUUACUGGGCGUAAAGGGCGCGUAGGCGGUCAGCACAAGUCAGUUGUGAAAUCUCCGGGCUUAACUCGGAAAGGUCAACUGAUACUGUGCGACUAGAGUGCAGAAGGGGCAACUGGAAUUCUCGGUGUAGCGGUGAAAUGCGUAGAUAUCGAGAGGAACACCUGCGGCGAAGGCGGGUUGCUGGGCUGACACUGACGCUGAGGCGCGAAAGCUAGGGUAGCAAACGGG